GACCCCAUAGCUCAGUGGUUAGAGCAUUGGUUUGGAAAACCAGGGGUUGUGGGUUUGUAUCCCACUGGGGCCCCCA